rnacentral:rRNA from 1 species
GUGGGGAAUAUUGCGCAAUGGGCGAAAGCCUGACGCAGCGACGCCGCGUGAGGGAUGACGGCCUUCGGGUUGUAAACCUCUUUCAGCAGGGACGAAGCGCAAGUGACGGUACCUGCAGAAGAAGCACCGGCCAACUACGUGCCAGCAGCCGCGGUAAUACGUAGGGUGCAAGCGUUGUCCGGAAUUAUUGGGCGUAAAGAGCUCGUAGGCGGCUUGUCACGUCGACUGUGAAAACCCGGGGCUCAACUCCGGGCCUGCAGUCGAUACGGGCUGGCUUGAGUGCGGUAGGGGAGACUGGAAUUCCUGGUGUAGCGGUGAAAUGCGCAGAUAUCAGGAGGAACACCGGUGGCGAAGGCGGGUCUCUGGGCCGUAACUGACGCUGAGGAGCGAAAGCGUGGGGAGCGAACAGGAUUAGAUACCCGAGUAGUCC